GUGGAAUGGUAUGGAAUCCACAGCCAAGAAAGGACAGAAACAAGAGAUUCAUCAAGACACAGCGUUUUCCUUCAGAGGCAGCAAAUUUAGCUGAUUGCCUCCACACAAGCUUUGUGGGAUCCUAUUUCUUAUACUGGGCAGACCCAAAGAAAUUUCCCAGCGGAUGGAAGAAGAGGCUCGCCUCUAUGACCUACCACACACAGUGGUGCCCUCCUAAUCAAAGGCUUUGGAUUUAUCUGUCGAAAGACCCAACCAAGAAAUGAGAGGGUGAGAAAAGGAAAACUGGGCAUGUUUCUUCCUUGCUUGGUUCCAUUCCUCUGGCAGGAACCUCUCCCAUCAAGACCUCAACUGCUGCUGGUAAUCUCAUCA
rnacentral:lncRNA from 1 species